ensembl:snRNA U6 U6 spliceosomal RNA
GUGCUCGCUUCGGCAGCACAUACACUAAAAUUGGAAUGACACAGAGAUUAGCAUUGCCCCUGCGCAGGGAUGACACGCAAAUUCGUGAAGAGUUACAUUAUUUU